GGGAAAGCUGACAUAAACUGGUAGGUGGUGGACGUGGGAUUUGAACCCAGGUAGCCUAACUCCAAACUUCUGCAUCUUGUCAUGAGGAUCCAAAUUUUAGCCUUUAAGGGGUUCUGUGCAGAUCCUCCCCAGCCUCCCCAGCUUCAGAUCCUGCCUCCUGAGCUCCAGCCUCUCCGAUUCCUGCACCCAGGCUCAGGCAUUUGUAAUGUGGGCAGAUAUGCACAGCAACUUGGGUUAGGGAAGAGAUUCUGGAUGGGAGAUACCAGACAUCACUGCGUCAUGGAGAACCCCCUGCAACUGCAUAAAGGUCGGGAGGGAAAUGAGGCUCAUGGCCUUCCAGGAGCUCAUGGUCAGCUGGAAAGAGGAGGCAUGGAUGCUGGGAAGAAUUCCAAGGAAGGACCUUGUAUCCUGCCUCUGCUGUCUCCUCACACCCAGUCUUCCUGCCAGACGGUUUAGGUGCCAGUGGCUUCUGAAUAAAACGGCAUUCUUGAAGUAAACAGCUGAGGACAUGAAAUAUGCCAAAGCUGGCAGCGGACUGUUCUUUUUCCUGGAUGAAAAUCUCUGAGAAUCAUUUGCUCUUAACGUUGGUGUCCUGGGGACUGCUGCCUUGUGCCAGGAAGCCACCCAGAGUCUUAUCUGUCAGAUCCUUGGGACUUUGUGAUAAACCUGCUCUUGUCCCUCAGGUUAGGAAAACGAAGCCCUGGAAAUCUGGGAGCCCCCACCACUUCCACAGCAAUAGACCAAAAUCCCUUCUCCCAGGGCGGGGGAGAAACCUGGAAAAAGCUCAUGAGAACAGAUGGCUGAAUUUUCAAGAAUCGUGUGAGCUGCUGUUAAACAAGCCAUUAUUAAAAUUUUAAUUGUAUAAACUUCCAAUUAGGUGAGUUAUAUUAAAAGUAAAAGUGAUAAAUAC